CAUUACCACGGGAAUCCCAUUAAUUCCCAAAGCAGUGGUUUCUAAAUGAAUUGGCCUUGUCCUGGGACGAUCAUGUUUCUUCCUUUUUGGUACUUCGUACCACAAUUCCUGCUGGGAUGACUGGGAAUUAGCAGCCGCCUGUGGGUCACCCAUGCACGAAGUCAGUUCUUGUCUGGAUUUGAAGUAGCAGGCUCCGGGGUCUAUUAUAGGCUAUAAAGACCCUUGAUAGCCAGAGGGUAAGGGAUAGGGUAACUGUAACGAUAUUACCUUGCAACCUCGGCUCUUUAGUGAAUGGUUUAAUUGCAUUGCUUUGAUUUCUAAGUGGAAAAACCGUAUCGUAAGGUGAUUCCCAUCUUCUCCUUCGUGAAUGAUGUUCUAAACUCCCUCAUCUUUCUGGAGUCUAGAGCACACUUUUUAUACAAACCGUGUUAGCAGGUUGAUUGUUGCCCAGCGAAGCCCCGGAAGGAUGAGCUGCAUGUGGUCCGUCCCUGGCUCUGCCUCUGCCUGUACCUGGGCUGAGCGGGCCGCCUCUCCAAGCGCAUGCGCUUCCUCAUCUAUACAAUGGCGCAUGGUCAUUGUUCCUGAGAAAAACAACGGGAGUGAUGAAAGAGGAUAGUCAUUUCCUAAGCCACAAGUUUGGUGGUUUCAAACAAUCUAAUCUAUUCUUUCCCAGUUCUGGGGCCUGGUGUCCAAAGUCAGCACCACUGGUCCCAGAUCGAGGUGUUGCCCAGGGCCGGGCUCUCAAGGCUCGGGGGAAAAGCCGUUCUUUGCUCCUCCUAGCCGAAGAGAGAAAAAUCGUUAACGGCUCUCCAGCUUAGUUUUCCUCUGGGGCCUUACAGGGAGACCACCAGAACACAGAUAAAUAGGAGAGAAGCCAGUCCGUUUAAUUUACACAUGUGCAUAGUCGUCCUCAUGAGACCAGUGAAGACCCAAAGAAAACUGAAAGCUUACACAAUCUCGCGUUGCUUUAUGAAGAGAUGCACAUUCCCGUGUUAGUUUGUUUCUGGUGCUGGAGAUUAAAGCAGCGAGUUACACCCAGAGGAGACGCAUCUGAGAAAUGCACCUCCAGAGCGCAUUUCCUGGAGGUUCUGCUUCUCAGCCACAGAUGGAAAAGAUGGAAUAUCUCUUCCUAGCUCCUAACCUAGCUGUCUCAGUCCAUUCAGGCCACUGUAAUAAAGUACCAGAAACCAGGUUGCUAGUUGAUGGCUGCAUUCCAGAUGUUAACACUGUCAGAAGCUUGACUUCCAUGUGGAAUCUGGACCAGCUUUAAGCAAAUAGUAACUGUCCUCUUGGUGUCAUUAUCAUCAUGAUCUUGUUCAACGCCUCCGUUUGAAAGAUGAAGAAACUAAGGCCCCAAGGACAGCAAUUAACCCAAGCCACGAUUGUGUGUGUGUUUCUGGAGCGUUUUCUCACACUUCUGCUCUCUGGGAAGGUUGCUGCUGUGAUAAGCAGAGCUCUCUACCUCCCUCAUCAAGCUCUCUGCUGGAGCCUGGUCAGAAAGGACCACUGUCCUGGGCCACUAUUGAGGGUAUUAUGACAAGUACUGGAGAAGGCUUAUGAUCGCCCAGUGGAUGAGACAUGUAUCCGUGCAUACAUGGAUCUGUGCAUACAUGAAGACAGGACUGUAAGGCAGAAGGAGAAGUAUGCAAAACUUAGAAGAGAAAUGCCUGUUGUGUUAGGAUCUGCAGAGGAGAUCUUUUCUCCUGAUCACUGCCAUAAAUAUUUGAAGAUGAGAUCGGGGGGGUCCUCAAAUUAUUGUCUGCGGACCAAAUCCUGCAGGCUUUCUGGUUUUGUGCAAUCAUUGAAAUACAAAUACUUUUUAUAUUUUUAAAUGGCUGAGAAUUAAAAAAACCCCACAAGGGCAAUAUAGUCAUGUGCCACAAACCAUGUUUCAGUCAGUAAUGGGUCAUACAUUGUUCAGUGGCCCCAUAUAAGAUUUCGUUGUCUGCGAUGUUGUAGCUGGUUUAGUUUGUAUACAUACAUUCUAUGAUGUUUGUACAACGAUGAAGUAGCCUAACGAUGAGUUUCUCAAAAUGUAUCCCCCUCAUUAAGUGAUACACAGCUGUAAUAAUUUGUGCCCUGUGAAAAUAAUAUGAAUUUCAAAUUUCAGUGUUCACAAUAAAGUUUUAUUGGAACAAAGCCAUACUUGCUCAUAUUGCCUGUGGUUGCUUUUACAUUCCAAUAACAGAAGCGAAUCAUCACGACAGAGAGAGUAUGGCCUUCAAAGCCUAAAAUAUUUAUUACCUGACCCUUUAUAGAAAGAGUUUGCCCAUGCUGGACUUUGAGUUAUCCAACACUUACAGUAUCGUUGUCCUGUCUGAUGUCCUUUUUCCUCUAUCACCACAUACCCACUAUUCCCUUCUCAUUCCAUCCAUCCAUCCAUCCAUCCAUCCACCCAUCCUUGGUUCCUGGCCAUCCUGGCAUCAGCAGUUCUUGGAUUUGUUUGUGGGAUGGUUAGUAAUGAUUGCUGUAGGUAGAGCUGCGCUCUCCUCUGCAUCCAAGCCUGGUGCCUCAGGGUUUCCUCAGUGCAACUGUCCCUUGCUCAAACACACCCCGACACCCACUUCAGUUGCUGAUUGCAUGUCAUCCAUUGGCUCCCAGCAGAGGCCUUUGAAGGACUUCUCCUUGCUCACAAUUUUAGCUUGUGAAAUGGAGUCCCAUUCAUUAAACUGUAAGACACCACUUGACAAGGGAUUUUAUUUUUAAAUGGCCCCUUGCUUAGCAAAUUUAUUCCUCCUGAGCUACUUUCAUUUUUGGUAAUCUAUAGAAAAGUAAAACAAUGCAGUAAAAUAAUGCAUUAAUGGAAUCUGUAAUCUUUCUCUAGGCACUGGGAACACUGCAAAGCUUGCCAU
rnacentral:lncRNA from 1 species